GUGGGGAAUAUUGGACAAUGGGCGCAAGCCUGAUCCAGCCAUGCCGCGUGAGUGAUGAAGGCCUUAGGGUUGUAAAGCUCUUUUGUCCGGGAAGAUAAUGACUGUACCGGAAGAAUAAGCCCCGGCUAACUUCGUGCCAGCAGCCGCGGUAAUACGAAGGGGGCUAGCGUUGUUCGGAAUCACUGGGCGUAAAGCGCACGUAGGCGGACCAUUAAGUCAGGAGUGAAAGCCUGGAACUCAACUCCAGAACUGCCUUUGAUACUGAUCGUCUCGAGUAUGGAAGAGGUUGGUGGAACUGCGAGUGUAGAGGUGAAAUUCGUAGAUAUUCGCAAGAACACCGGUGGCGAAGGCGGCCAACUGGUCCAUUACUGACGCUGAGGUGCGAAAGCGUGGGGAGCAAACAGGAUUAGAAACCCGAGUAGUCC
rnacentral:rRNA from 1 species